rnacentral:lncRNA from 1 species
AAAGAUUAAAUGAAAGACAUAUUUAUAUUAAAGAAAAUAAUAGAUUAACAAUAAUUUAUUCACAAUAACAUCCAUUCCUAUUUCAAUACUUUCCAGUACACUACAAAGAAUUUGAACCAACUAUAAGUUACUUCAACAUACAAUUAAAUAACUUUUCCCUUAAACGUCCAAAACAAUCUACGCUGGUCAUAGCUUUAAUAUCGUCCUUCUGAUGAAAAAGCUUUAGUUUCCAUGUUUUCCCCAAGUCAACCAUUCCUUUACAUUAGUUGCUCUCGCUUUCUUUUAAAGUAUUCCAAGAACUGAAAUCAAAAAAGGAAAGAAUCAUCACCAAACUUGUUUAGGAAAUUACUACUAAGUAGCAAAAAUAACAACGUGAUUAUACCUCGUAAGAUAUGUUGAAAAUGUAUAUAAAGUCAUGCGGCUACCUUCUGCAAGAGCAACGUGAUUAAAAACCAAUUCAACAUUAGAAUCUCAAAAGCAAUGUAUCAAUUUGGCAUUAUAAGCUUAUGCAAAAGAUAACUCCACUAACAAAGAUGGAAUUACAUACAAAUGUAGGAAGUGUUUGACAGAUGAUAUCCCCUUCUCAGCCAGCUGUUUAGGUGACAAAACAUCUUUGGCAAUCUUUUCCUAACUUCCAAAUUUCAAUGUCCCAAGAAUGGUGGACAGUGCUUUCUAUAAGCUAAAGCAAAGAGAAAUAACAUGAAAAUAUUAGUGUGGUGCGGAAGAGGAACUAACAAUCUCUAGUAUCAUUGUAAAGGCUUGCUAAAUCCUUCUUUGCUCUUCAAUUCGUCAGAAUGAUAUAUAGAUCAAUUUCAGUCCCAACAUUAAUGGCAAUGUUCCUUAUCCAACUUGAAUUGUCGAUAAAGUUGAUAUCUUAAGAUACCUUACACCAUCUACUAUCUAAAUUAUCAAACACAUAAUCAUAAUGGCCUUUACCUUUUCCCUCACGAACAAGUAUCCACAAGCUUCUUUUCCAAUCCAAUCUGCCGUGUUGUUUGGAUUAGAGUCACCAUCAAGCACAACCAAACAACUCUUAACAGAAGAUAAGUGACUGUAUGUUCAUAUCCUGUUGGAAAUAGCAUCACGCAAUGUAGUAGUGAAAAGGAUAGCCCUAUAAUUUAGUAACUCAUUUACCUUUUGCAUCGACUAUGCAUCAGUAUGCCAUAUGUGGUUAAUGGAUUUCAGGGUUCUGCAAUAGUAAGAACAAAUUGAACACCCAAACAAUGUCAAUAAUCUAAUCCUCUAAGGCAUUCACUCAAACAGUUGGUAGGAAUGGAAUAGAACGAAGAUAUGAGAAAAGAUUGCAACCCUGUUAAAGGCAUUUAACUGGAAAUUCAAUCCAAUGAACAAAAUAGAACAUAAAUCACAAAUGAAUAACCCUAACCUGAACCUUAAUAAAAUGAACCAAAAGUCUGAGAAUUAUCAGUAGUAGAAUCUAAAUACUAGAGAAUAGAUUAAAUAUGACGCUCAACCAAAUGCCUAAAUUUUGGUAAACUUCUGUCACGUUUAGAGUUCUAGACACCAACCUGGUCAUCUCCCCUUUCGAUUUUCUGCGUCACGCUGGGAUUGGCUUAUUCGCUAACCGAUCGCAACUCCAAACUUCAAGAGAUUGAUAGUGCCAGAUAGAUAUACGAAGUUAGUUCAACAGAAAAUUAGUAGUAGGCGGCUACGGUUUCACGGGGACCUUGACAAUUUUGUGAAUAUAAAACAUUGGCAUCGUGAUUUGGGGGUUGAGGAUGGGAAGAGAUUGGUAGGGUUUCAGUAGACAGGCCUUCCUUAAUGUUUUUAGUUUCAAUUUGUAACGAUUAAAAAUUAAAAAGUAGGAAAAUUUCCUUCAUUAGCGUAAAUGUCAGUAAAUACUCAUGAAUAUGUG